UACGGGGGGGGUAAGCGUUGUUCGGAAUUACUGGGCGUAAAGGGCUCGUAGGCGGCCAACUAAGUCAGACGUGAAAUCCCUCAGCUUAACUGGGGAACUGCGUCUGAUACUGGAUGGCUUGGAUUCGGGAGAGGAAUGCGGAAUUCCAGGUGUAGCGGUGAAAUGCGUAGAUAUCUGGAGGAACACCGGUGGCGAAGGCGGCAUUCUGGACCGACAUUGACGCUGAGGAGCGAAAGCCAGGGGAGCAAACAGG
rnacentral:rRNA from 1 species